rnacentral:rRNA from 1 species
GAAGUUGGAGUCGCUAGUAAUCGCAGAUCAGCAACGCUGCGGUGAAUACGUUCCCGGGCCUUGUACACACCGCCCGUCACGUCAUGAAAGUCGGUAACACCCGAAGCCGGUGGCCUAACCCCUUGUGGGAGGGAGCCGUCGAAGGUGGGGUCGGCGAUUGGGACGAAGUCGUAACAAGGUAGCCGUACCGGAAGGUGCGGCUGGAUCACCUCCUUU